rnacentral:snRNA from 1 species
ACGUUCACCAAAUAGGGCUGAAC